UGCCACCAAUUUUCAAACACAAAAGAAGCUAGGCUGUAAAACCCAUAAUUGGAUCUGAAUGAAGGCACAAAGACGCCGUCGCUAAAUAACAGAGAGAAUGAAAACACAAAAGGCAAUUGCUUGGGCGUUUGUCAUCACCCUGAUAUCUGUGGCUACACAUUGUACCUGGACAACACGAGUGUUGACCAGAAACUGGGGUCCUCAAUCAAUGAUGUACCUGAAAGGGAAACAUGGAAGAGGAAAUUCAUUGGAAAGAGAGAGAAGACUUUAUGCAUUUGAUUUAAUCAGUUGGAUAAACAAUGUUAACAGUCUGAUAGGUACAGUGUGAUUGUGCCAUGUACACCCCCAUCUCUGAAUGCACAUACAGUAGUUCCACAACAACUAGGAUAAUAAUGAAGGGAGACAGU